GGGAAGCAAAUGGAGGAUUCUCAUCUUCAUCUCCUAUAUGGCUCCAACUACUACUCCCCCCAAAGUUCAUGUUAUGUCAUACAGAGAAAAUGAUAUCCUUAUGGCAGAAUUGGACAAGAUUACUCAUAGUUUAAGGCAACUGGCCCUCAUGCUCUGGGUGUCCUCAAUCUUCAUGGUCAUUCCAGGCGCCAAGAGGAUUAAUAUUUCACGAACAUAUAACCCAGUAAGUAGGCAAGGAGAGGUGCCACUGAAAAAAAUCCUCUCGUCUUCUUGACUAAGUUACUAGGUUAACUAAAUCAGGAUAGGACCUGGUAAACAGCAGCAAUUGCAGGACAAAUUGUAUUUAACUGGGAGGUUCCUAAGAUGAAUAUGACUGCUACUUUUUAGAACAUCAUGUAAACAUCUUGGCCAUACAGAAUGUAUAGGCUGUGGUUUAAUAAUUCUACCUUUGAACUUUCAAAUAGGCUCUCUUUCGGAGUUAUUGCCAAAUGGUGCUAUUUCAGGUGACUGGGAAACUCUGUGAUCUCGUUAUCAGAAGUAAGACCAGAAUGUCAUUGACGUACACCAUGAUCUCAUGAUUAGGCAGUCGUGUGGGAUUUCAUUUAUCUGGUUCCGAAAAUAGGUAUUGAACAAGACAAACGACAGAAAAAUAUUGCCCGAGACACAUCUAGUCUACCACCUUCUACACACCACUCUCAUUCACAUUGAAGACAUAACUCCAGCUUUAUAAAAAUGAUGAUUCAAAAAUUUUGCAAAAGAAGGCAUUCCCAUGUGGCUCAGUGGGUUAAGAACCUGAUACGGUGUCCACGAGGAUGUGGCUUCGAUCCCUUUCCUCGCUCAGUGAGUUAAGGAUCCAGCCUUGCUGCAAGCUGUGGUGUAGGUUGCAGAUGCGGCUGGGAUCCUGUGUUGCUGUGACUGUGGUGGAGGCUGGCAGCUGCAGCUCCGAUUUGACCCCUAGCCUGGGCACUUCCAUAUGCUGCAGCAUAUGAAAGCUGCCAGGCUAGGGAUCGAAUCAGAGCUGCAGCUGCCGGCCUACGCCACAGCCACAGCAGUACAGGAUCCGAGCCUCCUCUGUGACCUAUGCCACAGCUCAACACAAUGCCAGAUCCUUAGUCCACUGAGCAGGGCCAGGGAUCAAAGCCGCAACCUCAUACAUGAUUCCUAGUUGGGUUUGUUACCACUGAGCCACGGCGGGAACUCCAGAACUCUCCAUUUUAUGUAAGGCUAGUACAGGUGUCUGAUGUACUUCUGCCACAAGUUAUCUAUAUGCUCUUGGAAGGACUUGGCCUUAGGCUUCGAGAAACUAUUCAAGUGCUUGACAUAGUCAUGGGCCCCAGACCCCAGAUUCAUCAUAUUCACAUGUAGUUUUGCCUUCCAUUCUGAAAGUGCCUUCUGGGAAGUGGCAUACUUGUCUGUAAUCCCAGGUAAAGAGGCCACAGAUGGUGGAGGGCCAUAGUGGGCAGAGCUAGAACUUAAGGCAGAAGUCCGAAAGAAGAUGAAAAGCACAGCUUUUUUUAGGACGUAUUGAGGUCCGUGGAGCUCCAUCCGUAAAGACAAUAGAGCAGAGAACUGGUAUGAACAGUAACACAGUGACAACACUGUUUGUUUUUUUUCCUGCGUGUUAUCUCAUGAGCAUGUUAAUUCGGUUAUCUCUAUCCCCCCCAACAUGGGAUAUGUAACAGAGUUUCCAUUUAGACAAGGGUAACGUUGGGAUCUUGUCACCAGUGUAAAGGCCAGAGCACAUACCGCCCAGAAUUCUAUGUUAUGAAAUACCCUCCCUGCUGCCCCUUACAGGUAAGAGUAAAAGGUGAACCUUCUCUUCGUACCCUGGGACACUGGAUAGUAUACCAAGGAGUUUCCAGUAGGCAAACUGCUUAGCUCUCCUUUGGUACAUAUUCAAAGGUUAAUGGGCCCAGGAGGCCUGUGGAUGGAUGGGUUCCACUAUUUCUGCGGUUUUAUGGACAUAUCUGUAUUCACACCCUGAGGCUUAUUAUUAUUAUUUUUUUUUCUUUUUAGGGCUGCCCUCGCGGCAUGUUGAGGUUCCCAGGCUAGGAGUCCAAUCGGAGCUACAGCUGCUGGUCUACACCACAGCUCAUGGCAACGCCGGAUCCUUAACCCACUGAGCAAGGCCAGGGAUUGAACCCGCAUCCUCAUGGUUCCUAGUCGGGUUCGUUAACCACUGAGCCACGAAGGGAACUCCCAGUUUUUAAUUUUUAAUUUUUUUAUUGAGUUGUAGUUGAUUUACAGUAUUAGUUUCAGAUAUACAAUAUAGUGAUUCAAAAAUUGUAUAGAUUAUACUUCAUUUAAAGUUAUAAAAUAUUACCUAUAUUCCCUGUGCUGUAUGAUAUAUCCUUGUAGUUUAUUUUAUACGUAGUAGUUUGUCUGCUUUAAUCCCCUACCCCUUUCGUGCCAUUCCCCCAUUUGAAGCUUAUUAUUUCUGAAAAAAAUAAUAGGACUCUGACCAAUCCGUCUUGUGGUUUCCCCUGAGAUUUACUGAGAAAUUACAUGGCCUAUUCUUUCUAGUCAACAAAUGGCACUAUCUCCAAACUGGUGGGGCUACUGAAAAAAAAAAUUGUGUAAGAGGAUCGGCCUUGCUGGACUCUCCUCAUGGUCUGUCCGAAUCUGAAGUAUCUAGGAGUUCCUGUCUUAGCUCAGCAGUUAACAAACCUGACUAGUAUCCAUGAAGAUGCGGGUUUGAUCCCUGGCCUCCGCCAGUGGCUUAAGGAUCCGGCGUUGCUGUGAGCUGUGGUGUAGGUUGCAGAUGUGGCUCAGAUCUAGCAUUGCUGUGGCUGUGGUGUAGGCUACAGCUCUGAUUUGACCCCUAGCCUGGGACCUUCCAUAUGCCGUGGGUGCGGCCGUAAAAAGCCAAAAAAAAAAAAAAAAUACCGAGAAUCUGAAGUAUCUGGAAUCCUUUCCUAACCUGGUGUUGCAUGUUGCUAUUGCAUUUCCCCAGAAGUGAGAGUGACAGGGCAAUGGUGCAGGUUGGAAAAGCGAAGGGUUUCCAGCUCUGUUCUAAUUCUUGGCCCGUGAAUUCUUCGUGCUGAACACUGGAGGGCACUCUUGUGCUAUUGCAAGCUGUGAGAGCUGUGGGUAUCAGAUGUUGGAAUAACUGUGUGGGCCGCAGAGAAUUUUGCCCAUUUUCCUGAGUGAUUUAUCAGAUGAUGACACCAGGGCCUGGACUGGGUUUGGGGACAUGAGGAAAAAGAUUCAAUACUGAUUAGGAAUUCAGGCUAUAGUGGUCUAACUUUGUAGGCAGAGCUCACUGGGCCACCGGCAUGAGAGAGGAGACAUUAAAAAAGCCAACCAAAAGGAAGAUAUACUUUCAACUACCAUCUGUAUGCAGAUUUGCAAAUCUAUAUUUCCAUAGAUCUGUAUAUAAUCACUUGAUAUCUAGCCACUUGAUAGCCAUCAGAAGCCUUAAGCUCAUCGUUUCCCAAAGGGAACGAAUUGUUUCCUUUCUCUGCUUGCCACCCACUCUCCUUACAUUCCCAUCCCAUUUCAAAACUGCUGCCAUGCCCCUUCUGUGCCUCCUAGACUUGCCAUUUUGAAGUAUUCUCCAUCUCAGUAAACGGUCCCACCUUGUUCAAGUCAUCAAACUGCUGGCACCAUCUUUGACACGUUCUUCCUUCUGUCUUCUUUUUCAUUCAAUGACCCUGUCCUGUUCAUUCUACUUCCUAAAUAUCUCUUGGAUUUACCCAAUUUCCCACAUUCCUCAUUCCUAGCCACCACUUCCUCUCACUUGGAUUACUGCAGUGACCUUAGAGACACUCUCCUCUUACCCAGUGUUGAUUUCUCACAUGUGUUCUUCAACCAGCAACCAGAAUAUAUCUAAAAUCUAAAUCUAACCUUAUUACUUCUCUGCUUGAAACCAUUUAAUGGCUAUUCUUAGCCUUCAGGAUAACGUUUAAAUGCUUUAGCAUGGGACUCAUUCAUGCUUCUUCUGGAGCAUCUUUUCUGUGCUGUGUUCCAUGUUAGAGGCAUUGGGGAUGGAUUCAGAGAUGAAACAUACACAGCCUCUGCUUUCAUGAAACUCAGUUAUUCAAGUUAUAACACGUGGAGCUCCCAGUAUAGUGCCACAGAAGGCCAUGCAUGAUCCGGAUUCUGUUCCCUGCUUCAGCCUCUCAUCUUGCCCUUCCCUCCUCUGCCCUGUCUUGCCAUGUCUUCAGUACCCCUUCAAACUCUGCAGUGCAGCCAGCCAAGCCGAGCUACUUGCGGUUUGCACAUGCUUCUCUUAAAUGCUUUCACUCCUCUGUACAGGCUAUUUUCUUUCUAUGUGGAAUACCUGCCACAACUUCUUCAUCCAGUUAAAUCCUAGUCAUUCCUCAAAGCUCAGUUCAGAUGUCAUGUCUUACAGGAAGCCCUCCCUGGUAUCUUUAUCCUCUAAGCUUGUGUUAGGUAUCCCUGUAAUCCCAUAGAAUCUUGUGUUUAUCUCCUUCAUAGCAUUUUUCAUACUGUAUUAUAAUUGUUUGCUUCUUUGUCUCUCCCUUUUUAGUGAGAAUCCAUUUCUCCAAGUCACUUUCUUUGUUGCCAGCUAGUGCUGACUCAAGGGCUUUAGCCCCACUGUAACCUAUGGCUCCUUGCUCAGUGUCUUUCAUUUCAGCUAUUUCUUCCAGCACUGUUCUUUACAAGUGCAAGGGAUAGACAAUACAAAGCUGUGGAAGAGGUUCAGCUGCCUUGCCUUUCAACAUUACAUGCUGAGGAUACUUUGCUCAAUCACUAGAAAUUGAACAGUGAUGAUGGAGGGCUGAAAAUGGCACCCUCUCAUCUCUGACUUUGUGGACAAGCUCUGGGGUACCCAGAUAUUCUCCAGUUUGGACUUUCAGG
rnacentral:lncRNA from 1 species